CCCGGUGGCAAUGCCGGAGGGGCCACACCCGUUCCCAUCCCGAACACGGAAGUUAAGCCCUCCAGGGCCGAUGGUACUGCGCUGGCAACGGCGUGGGAGAGUAGGUCGCCGCCGGGA
rnacentral:rRNA from 1 species